rnacentral:rRNA from 1 species
CUGACGUUAGCGGCGGACGGGUGAGUAACACGUGGAUAACCUACCUAUAAGACUGGGAUAACUUCGGGAAACCGGAGCUAAUACCGGAUAAUAUAUUGAACCGCAUGGUUCAAUAGUGAAAGACGGUUUUGCUGUCACUUAUAGAUGGAUCCGCGCCGCAUUAGCUAGUUGGUAAGGUAACGGCUUACCAAGGCGACGAUGCGUAGCCGACCUGAGAGGGUGAUCGGCCACACUGGAACUGAGACACGGUCCAGACUCCUACGGGAGGCAGCAGUAGGGAAUCUUCCGCAAUGGGCGAAAGCCUGACGGAGCAACGCCGCGUGAGUGAUGAAGGUCUUCGGAUCGUAAAACUCUGUUAUUAGGGAAGAACAAAUGUGUAAGUAACUAUGCACGUCUUGACGGUACCUAAUCAGAAAGCCACGGCUAACUACGUGCCAGCAGCCGCGGUAAUACGUAGGUGGCAAGCGUUAUCCGGAAUUAUUGGGCGUAAAGCGCGCGUAGGCGGUUUUUUAAGUCUGAUGUGAAAGCCCACGGCUCAACCGUGGAGGGUCAUUGGAAACUGGAAAACUUGAGUGCAGAAGAGGAAAGUGGAAUUCCAUGUGUAGCGGUGAAAUGCGCAGAGAUAUGGAGGAACACCAGUGGCGAAGGCGACUUUCUGGUCUGUAACUGACGCUGAUGUGCGAAAGCGUGGGGAUCAAACAGGAUUAGAUACCCUGGUAGUCCACGCCGUAAACGAUGAGUGCUAAGUGUUAGGGGGUUUCCGCCCCUUAGUGCUGCAGCUAACGCAUUAAGCAC